AGAUUUAUUUUUCUGUGGUUCUUGAAAUACCUGAGAAGCAGGAACACCCUUUGAACUUUCUCAUGUGAGGUAAGCUGUGGUUUCUGCAGGUCCAUACCGCAAUGCCUGGUAUGACCAAGUGUAUACAAGCCAAAAGGGAGAUACUUCCACCAAGCAACCAAAUUUGAGACUGUGAUGCCCUCGUAGAUUUUUACUCAUCAGCUUCUGGAAGAUACCAUUUGAUGGAGAAGAGCGUCUCAGAACGUGGAGGUCGAAGAAAGGCAUGUAAAAUUUGGGAAUUCAGUUCCUGGUACAGAGGGUCCAGGGAGCAGCUUGUGGAUUGAAAAUUG